rnacentral:rRNA from 6 species
UUUGGUUAAGUUAGAAAGGGCGCACGGUGGAUGCCUUGACACUAGGAGUCGAUGAAGGACGGGACUAACGCCGAUAUGCUUCGGGGAGCUGUAAGUAAGCUUUGAUCCGAAGAUUUCCGAAUGGGGAAACCCACCAUACGUAAUGGUAUGGUAUCCUUACCUGAAUACAUAGGGUAAGGAAGACAGACCCAGGGAACUGAAACAUCUAAGUACCUGGAGGAAGAGAAAGCAAAUGCGAUUUCCUGAGUAGCGGCGAGCGAAACGGAACAUAGCCCAAACCAAGAGGCUUGCCUCUUGGGGUUGUAGGACAUUCUAUACGGAGUUACAAAGGAACGAGGUAGACGAAGCGACCUGGAAAGGUCCGUCGUAGAGGGUAACAACCCCGUAGUCGAAACUUCGUUCUCUCUUGAAUGUAUCCUGAGUACGGCGGAACACGUGAAAUUCCGUCGGAAUCUGGGAGGACCAUCUCCCAAGGCUAAAUACUCCCUAGUGAUCGAUAGUGAACCAGUACCGUGAGGGAAAGGUGAAAAGCACCCCGGAAGGGGAGUGAAAGAGAUCCUGAAACCGUGUGCCUACAAAUAGUCAGAGCCCGUUAACGGGUGAUGGCGUGCCUUUUGUAGAAUGAACCGGCGAGUUACGAUCCCGUGCGAGGUUAAGCUGAAGAGGCGGAGCCGCAGCGAAAGCGAGUCUGAAUAGGGCGUUUAGUACGUGGUCGUAGACCCGAAACCAGGUGAUCUACCCAUGUCCAGGGUGAAGUUCAGGUAACACUGAAUGGAGGCCCGAACCCACGCACGUUGAAAAGUGCGGGGAUGAGGUGUGGGUAGCGGAGAAAUUCCAAUCGAACCUGGAGAUAGCUGGUUCUCCCCGAAAUAGCUUUAGGGCUAGCCUUAAGUGUAAGAGUCUUGGAGGUAGAGCACUGAUUGGACUAGGGGUCCUCAUCGGAUUACCGAAUUCAGUCAAACUCCGAAUGCCAAUGACUUAUCCUUAGGAGUCAGACUGCGAGUGAUAAGAUCCGUAGUCAAAAGGGAAACAGCCCAGACCGCCAGCUAAGGUCCCAAAGUGUGUAUUAAGUGGAAAAGGAUGUGGAGUUGCUUAGACAACUAGGAUGUUGGCUUAGAAGCAGCCACCAUUUAAAGAGUGCGUAAUAGCUCACUAGUCGAGUGACUCUGCGCCGAAAAUGUACCGGGGCUAAAUACACCACCGAAGCUGCGGAUUGAUACCAAUGGUAUCAGUGGUAGGGGAGCGUUCUAAGGACAGUGAAGUCAGACCGGAAGGACUGGUGGAGUGCUUAGAAGUGAGAAUGCCGGUAUGAGUAGCGAAAGACGGGUGAGAAUCCCGUCCACCGAAUGCCUAAGGUUUCCUGAGGAAGGCUCGUCCGCUCAGGGUUAGUCAGGACCUAAGCCGAGGCCGACAGGCGUAGGCGAUGGACAACAGGUUGAUAUUCCUGUACCACCUCUUUAUCGUUUGAGCAAUGGAGGGACGCAGAAGGAUAGAAGAAGCGUGCGAUUGGUUGUGCACGUCCAAGCAGUUAGGCUGAUAAGUAGGCAAAUCCGCUUAUCGUGAAGGCUGAGCUGUGAUGGGGAAGCUCCUUAUGGAGCGAAGUCUUUGAUUCCCCGCUGCCAAGAAAAGCUUCUAGCGAGAUAAAAGGUGCCUGUACCGCAAACCGACACAGGUAGGCGAGGAGAGAAUCCUAAGGUGUGCGAGAGAACUCUGGUUAAGGAACUCGGCAAAAUGACCCCGUAACUUCGGGAGAAGGGGUGCUUUCUUAACGGAAAGCCGCAGUGAAUAGGCCCAAGCGACUGUUUAGCAAAAACACAGCUCUCUGCGAAGCCGUAAGGCGAAGUAUAGGGGGUGACACCUGCCCGGUGCUGGAAGGUUAAGGAGAGGGGUUAGCGUAAGCGAAGCUCUGAACUGAAGCCCCAGUAAACGGCGGCCGUAACUAUAACGGUCCUAAGGUAGCGAAAUUCCUUGUCGGGUAAGUUCCGACCCGCACGAAAGGUGUAACGAUUUGGGCACUGUCUCAACCAGAGACUCGGUGAAAUUAUAGUACCUGUGAAGAUGCAGGUUACCCGCGACAGGACGGAAAGACCCCGUGGAGCUUUACUGUAGCCUGAUAUUGAAUUUUGGUACAGUUUGUACAGGAUAGGCGGGAGCCUUUGAAACCGGAGCGCUAGCUUCGGUGGAGGCGCUGGUGGGAUACCGCCCUGACUGUAUUGAAAUUCUAACCUACGGGUCUUAUCGACCCGGGAGACAGUGUCAGGUGGGCAGUUUGACUGGGGCGGUCGCCUCCUAAAGUGUAACGGAGGCGCCCAAAGGUUCCCUCAGAAUGGUUGGAAAUCAUUCGUAGAGUGCAAAGGCAUAAGGGAGCUUGACUGCGAGACCUACAAGUCGAGCAGGGACGAAAGUCGGGCUUAGUGAUCCGGUGGUUCCGCAUGGAAGGGCCAUCGCUCAACGGAUAAAAGCUACCCCGGGGAUAACAGGCUUAUCUCCCCCAAGAGUCCACAUCGACGGGGAGGUUUGGCACCUCGAUGUCGGCUCAUCGCAUCCUGGGGCUGUAGUCGGUCCCAAGGGUUGGGCUGUUCGCCCAUUAAAGCGGUACGCGAGCUGGGUUCAGAACGUCGUGAGACAGUUCGGUCCCUAUCCGUCGUGGGCGUAGGAAAUUUGAGAGGAGCUGUCCUUAGUACGAGAGGACCGGGAUGGACGCACCGCUGGUGUACCAGUUGUUCUGCCAAGGGCAUAGCUGGGUAGCUAUGUGCGGAAGGGAUAAGUGCUGAAAGCAUCUAAGCAUGAAGCCCCCCUCAAGAUGAGAUUUCCCAUAGCGUAAGCUAGUAAGAUCCCUGAAAGAUGAUCAGGUUGAUAGGUUCGAGGUGGAAGCAUGGUGACAUGUGGAGCUGACGAAUACUAAUAGAUCGAGGACUUAACCAUAUAA